rnacentral:rRNA from 1 species
GAUGAACGCUGGCGGCGUGCCUAACACAUGCAAGUCGAACGGAGUUGUUAUUAGGAAGUUUUCGGAUGGAAUAAUAAUAUCUUAGUGGCGGACGGGUGAGUAACGCGUGGGUAACCUGCCUCAUACAGGGGGAUAACAGUUGGAAACGGCUGCUAAAACCGCAUGACAUUGCGAUGUCGCAUGACAAUGCAAUGAAAUAUUUAUAGGUAUGAGAUGGGCCCGCGUCUGAUUAGCUAGUUGGUGAGGUAAUGGCCCACCAAGGCGACGAUCAGUAGCCGGCUUGAGAGAAUGACCGGCCACAUUGGGACUGAGUCACGGCCCAAACUCCUACGGGAGGCAGCAGUGGGGAAUAUUGCACAAUGGGGGAAACCCUGAUGCAGCGACGCCGCGUGAGUGAAGAAGUAUUUCGGUAUGUAAAGCUCUAUCAGCAGGGAAGAAAAUGACGGUACCUGACUAAGAAGCCCCGGCUAACUACGUGCCAGCCGCCGCAGUAA